rnacentral:rRNA from 1 species
UGGGGAAUAUUGCACAAUGGAGGGAACUCUGAUGCAGCGACGCCGCGUGAACGAAGAAGGCUUUCGAGUCGUAAAGUUCUUUUAUAUGGGAAGAUAAUGACGGUACCAUAAGAAAAAGCCCCUGCUAACUACGUGCCAGCAGCCGCGGUAAUACGUAGGGGGCUAGCGUUGUCCGGAAUCACUGGGCGUAAAGGGUUCGCAGGCGGAAAUGCAAGUCAGGUGUAAAAGGCAGUAGCUUAACUACUGUAAGCAUUUGAAACUGCAUAUCUUGAGAAGAGUAGAGGUAAGUGGAAUUUUUAGUGUAGCGGUGAAAUGCGUAGAUAUUAAAAAGAAUACCGGUGGCGAAGGCGGCUUACUGGGCUCAUUCUGACGCUGAGGAACGAAAGCGUGGGUAGCAAACAGG